rnacentral:rRNA from 1 species
UACGUAGGGCGCAAGCGUUUAUCCGGAAUUAUUGGGCGUAAAGAGCUCGUAGGCGGUUUGUCGCGUCUGCCGUGAAAGUCCGGGGCUCAACUCCGGAUCUGCGGGUGGGUACGGGCAGACUAGAGUGAUGUAGGGGAGACUGGAAUUCCUGGUGUAGCGGUGAAAUGCGCAGAUAUCAGGAGGAACACCGAUGGCGAAGGCAGGUCUCUGGGCCGAUACUGACGCUGAGGAGCGAAAGCGUGGGGAGCGAACAGG